GGAAUGACGUCCGGUCCGAAC
rnacentral:miRNA from 1 species